rfam:Hordeum vulgare subsp. vulgare, WGS project CAJW01000000 data, contig: morex_contig_66169
AUAAUACUCCCUUCGUUUGGAAUUACUUGUCGAAUAAAUAUAUAAAAAUAAAUAUAUCUACAAUUAAAAUAUAUCUAGAUAUAUCCAUUCCUAUGACAAAUAUUUCCGGACGGAGGGAGUAGCUG